rnacentral:rRNA from 1 species
UACGGGGGGGGCAAGCGUUGUUCGGAAUUACUGGGCGUAAAGGGCUCGUAGGCGGCCAACUAAGUCAGACGUGAAAUCCCUCGGCUUAACCGGGGAACUGCGUCUGAUACUGGAUGGCUUGAAUCCGGGAGGGGGAUGCGGAAUUCCAGGUGUAGCGGUGAAAUGCGUAGAUAUCUGGAGGAACACCGGUGGCGAAGGCGGCAUCCUGGACCGAUAUUGACGCUGAGGCGCGAAAGCCAGGGGAGCAAACGGG